AUUAUAGAAACAUGCUUAUAAAAGAAAACACAAACCUUCAAGGAUGCCCUAAACCUCUAAAGCAUCAAUCUUUCAAGAGGAACUAACAAUUAGGGUUUUCUUUUGUUUCUACCAUUAAUGGCACAUGAGAGUAGUACACAAGUAGAUCAUCAUGAGAAGAGCCUGCAUGAGCCUCCUAAUAAGCCUCAAACAAUGAAAUGUUGUUGUUUACUACAAACAAGGAGGAGAAAAGUUCCAAGCACAAAGAAGAAAAGAGAGGAUAGCGGUUUUAUUGAAGGAUGCCUCUAUGUUUUGUGCUGCUUUUGGAUGUGUGAUCCAUGUUUUGAUAAAAUGAAGCACCUGUAGAGGAAUCUGCAUCACUGUACUUUGGAAUUUUCAUGAGUACAGAGAGGAGGGACUCAGACAAAAAAGAUGGUUGUACAAGUAUUGUAAAAUCUAUCUAAAAUAAUGAAAUAUUCAUGUAUUGGGCUCGA